rnacentral:rRNA from 1 species
UAAGGAAUAUUGCUCAAUGGGAGAAAUCCUGAAGCAGCAACGCCGCGUGGAGGAUGAAGGGUCUAUGACUUGUAAACUCCUGUAAAGAAGGAAAAAAUUCCCAUUUGAUGGGAGAUGAUGGUACUUCUGGAGUAAGCCCCGGCUAACUACGCGCUAGCAGCCGCGGUAAUACGUAGGGGGCAAGCGUUGUCCGGAUUUACUGGGUGUAAAGGGUGCUCAGGCGGAUUUGUAAGUCAGAGGUGAAAUCUUACAGCUUAACUGUGAAACUGCCUUUGAUACUGCAAGCCUAGAGUAUGGAAGAGAGUGAUGGAAUAUCUGGUGUUGCAGUGAAAUGCGUAGAUAUCAGAUAGAACACCAAUGGCGAAGGCAGUCACUUGGUCCAUUACUGACGCUAAAGCACGAAAGCGUGGGUAGCAAAC